rnacentral:lncRNA from 1 species
UGAACAUCCUCACAAGGGUGCACUUUCACAUCUCAUUUUCUCCAGACGAAGAAAUUGAAUUUGGGAGUUAGAAAAUCAUUCUCAGGGACAAGAGAAGUUGCUCAAGGUCACUGCUCUCGCUGAGGACCCGAGUGUGGUUCCACGCAUCCACAUAGCAAUGUACCUGUCAAUGUAUGGAAAUCCUGUCCCAGGGAUCAGACUCCUUCUUCUGGGCACUGCUACAGGCUUGUGCAGGAGGCUGCAGGGGGCUGACUUUCUAGAUAUCACUAUUGUCACUAGUUCAUGGCAAAGCUACGGCUAGAAACUACAUCUCUCAAUGGCCAUCAGGACACCAAAGAUAAUGAGCAGAGCAGACAAAUCAAUCUGACAGAAUUGCUGAGCUCCACUUGUUGUGACUUCAUAGAAAAAAAUACACCCAAAACCCUCUGGUGCUGCUCUGGCGGCCUCUCGACAAUCCCACGGACUCGGGCGGAUUGGCAGAGUGAUGUCAGCUGUUACAGAUUCAUGUGGAGUCUUGCUAAGACUCUCACUCCCUUGUCCAUCAGUAGUUGCUCUCCUUCAUCAGCCAUUGGUCUCUAGUACACACAAGGGUAGGAUGAACUGAAUUUUUUCCCUUUCCUUACCAAAUGACAAGAUUCUCUCUCGGUAUGACAAGGUGACCAAUCUAGGCUUAAAUCUCAUGUUGAAAUCCUGGGUUGAAGCUCAAGAGCAAGUUUUAAUUCAUUGUAGUUAUUGUGGAGGAGCUCAAACUGUCCCACUUCUGUUUGGUGUCUUGGCACCCUUGACAAAGCCUCGUCACAUACAGUAGCUUCUUUCUGAAACCAGACCUUGAAGGAUCAUCUAUCUAUCUGUCACUUCUUGUUCCACACCUCGAGUCAGCAUUAUGGCCAUAAGCUGUGCUGCCAUUUAAUGAGGACUUCAAAGUGUGGGUGCUAGGGACUCCCCCUUAGCUGAUCAUUUCUGUAAGUGUCUUUGGUAGAUAGAGAUAAUAAAUAUGGACAAAGCCCAAAUAUCCCACAUGAACACACUUGCUCAAUUGCAUGUAUUAUAUACCAGAUAGAAAACACCAAUAUGAUGCUGAAAACAUUAAAAAUUUGUAUAUCCAUUGUAAAAUCAGUACAGCAUUUUCAUUUUUGUGAGGGCAUAUAGCACAGUUUCUCCUUCAUCAAGUUCUGACUUAUAUAACUAAUUAAAUAUUUCAUUUUCAAGGUCUAUGAUUUAUAUGAGUAUCCUCCCCAGACACUGGUACUCAGGAUGAUGCUUUGGGGUAAGGGUAGAACCUAGUGGAGGUGUGCCCUGACGGGAACUAUGGAGUCCUAUGUCUCUGCUUGGCUUUGGGGUGAAGUUUGCUUGCUCUCUUACAUACUUUUAAGAAGAUGUAUAGCCCCUGUCAGAAUCCUAAUGAGAUUUCCAAAUGGUGGAGUAGAACUUCCGGAACCCUGAGCCAAAAUAAACCUUUCAUAAGCUUAGUGCCUUGGUUAUUUCCUUGUAGUGGUGGGAAGUUUAUACAUUAACCAUCAGGGGUGUGUGUGUGUGUGUGUGUGUGUGUGAGAGAGAGAGAGAGAGAGAGAGAGAGAGAGAGAGAGAGAGAGAGAGCGAGCUGUGGCUGGCUUUCAAACUUGUGACCCCCCUCCUCUCAGCCUCCUUACAGAUAUGCUCUGCCAGGCCUGGUUCAAUCAUUUCUUAUGUAGGUGUUGUUAUGGUAUUUAGUAUGUGUGUUCUGUACUUUAUCCUUAAAGUGGGGCUCAUUGGAAGAGCAUCCUUUUAAUCAGUAGCAACUUUAUGCUCUUGAAACUGAAUUUUUCUAGGUAGAAAAUCCUUGUCUGACUUUCUUUGGAAAUCGUAACUAUACCACUGUGUUUCAUGUGGUAGAAAGCAUCGUUUAAAAAUCAUAUGCUCUUAUACCUCCCUGGCUAUCAAGUGUUUCUUUCAAGUAAAUGGCCACAAGUUUUGCUUCUAUUUCUUCAGUGAUUUUACUAGACUAGACCUUGGAGGGUAAGGUUAGUAGUAUUCGUUUAAAAUAUUUCUCUUACAAUUUCAGUAAAAUGUAUUUGAGAAAUGUUUAACAUUUCUUUUGCUUGCCUUGGUUUUACAUAUUCCUGUCUUUUACCUUUCUUCAAUGUUAUCUUUUUAAAAAAAUUUUAUUUAUUCACUUUACAUCCUGC